rnacentral:rRNA from 1 species
UACGUAGGGUGCGAGCGUUAAUCGGAAUUACUGGGCGUAAAGCGUGCGCAGGCGGUUCGUUGUGUCGGCGGUGAAAGCCCCGGGCUCAACCUGGGAAUGGCCGUUGAAACUGGCGAACUGGAGUGUGGCAGAGGGGGGUGGAAUUCCGCGUGUAGCAGUGAAAUGCGUAGAGAUGCGGAGGAACACCGAUGGCGAAGGCAGUCCGCCAAACCAUUACUGACACUGAAACACGAAAGUGCGGGGAUCAAACAGG